GAACCACCCCAAAUUGUUUUCUAUUGUAAAUAGGUUCCACAUAAUUAUUUUCCAUACCAUACCUUUUUGUUUCCCUGGGGAGUAAUUUGACGUUGCACCUGUGUGUCUCGCUUCAGUGAGCACUGACGUGCGGAGCUGGUAAAUUAUGUUUACAUCUCUCUCCCUUUGAUUAUUCUAACAAGCUUUUUGUUUGUCGCUCUUAAACAAUGCUAUCAUAAUGUACACUGCUUUGUGUCGUGCUGUUAACUUUCAGUUUGUUCAAUUGUUGUAAAAAAACUGACUUGUAUGUUUUAAUUGAACGACGCUGAAGUUAGCAUCCGGUUCAGCACUUAAGGGGAAAGUUAAGGGGAAAUUAACUUAACGUGCAAUGCGACUGUUUUCCACUGAUUGUCUGUUUUUUGUGACAAUUCUUGGUGUGAAAACAUUUUAGUUAAGACAUUAACUUUGCCUGACACCCACUAUUGUAUUUGUGAAACUUUAAUUUUCGGAGGCUAACUUUAGCGUCGUGUUAAUUGAUGCGUGGAUUAGCUUAAUGCUAGCGGCAGUUAUUAAGGGUUUCCUGGUCGCGUGAGUUUGAGCAUGGGUUCAAAACACCACACCUUGAAUGCCGCUGUAUGAUUAAUACAAUUAUUUUUCUUUAAUAUGUAGAGUGGAGACAGAUACUGGGAAUUGUGGACUGUGUGUGACGCAUGUGCUCCCUUUGAAAAGUGACAGGACACUUAGUGUCCAGCUGUCUGGUCAACAGACGCUGGCUUAUUCCAAGAACAACACAGCAGGUCCUAAAAGAUGAAGUCAUCUCCAGAGGCAGGACACAAAGCCCAGAGAUUCCAGCUGCUGCGUGGUGACCAGAGAGAGGUUGGUCCACUUCAAACCUGCAGAGCUACAGGAAAUCAGUGGAUAUCUGAGGUGGAUAUCAAAGGUUGCAGCCACGUUUGAAUGAGUCCACAUCCACGUCCCCUCGCUGCCUCACAGAGAAGCAGACAGAGCAAUUAUCUGUGUAUAUAACACACUGACUAAAUAUCUCAAACAACCCAGCU